AUACGGAGGGUGCGAGCGUUGUUCGGAAUUACUGGGCGUAAAGGGCGCGCAGGCGGCUUGAUAAGUCAGAUGUGAAAGCCCACGGCUCAACCGUGGAAGUGCAUCUGAAACUGUCUGGCUUGAGUACUGGAGAGGAAAGUGGAAUUCCUGGUGUAGAGGUGAAACUCGUAGAUAUCAGGAGGAACACCGGUGGCGAAGGCGACUUUCUGGACAGAUACUGACGCUGAGGCGCGAAAGCGUGGGGAGCAAACAGGAUUAGAAACCCCAGUAGUCC
rnacentral:rRNA from 1 species